GAGACUUCAACUGGAUGUUCUCUUUGAUAGAGUGCAAAAUUCAGAGGUUCAGAGUGGAGAGGCAUUGUGUUCUGGAGGCCACAGGUUUCACAGGGCUAUAUUGCUAAUGCAUCUGAAGAAAUCACUGUCCUUAACUGCUGUGCUAGAACAUUUGGGAGAGUAAGUUCUUUUCCUGUUGAAUCCCUCACUUAGAGCUUUUAUUUUUAGUAUUUUAGAGUGGCAGGACAUUGACAGCUAACAUCAGUUUUAAAGAGGUGGAAGUCUGGGACUCAAGCUCUGUUUCCACACAGAAUAGCUCUCAGAGGAACAGGUUGCCACAGUCUCAAAUGGAGAAGACACAAAUGAUAAGUAAUGAAAACAGCUCAUGAUCAAAAGAGUCCCUAUUCUUCAUAGAAACAGAAUGGUUUGGGUUGGAAGGAACCUUAAAGAUUAUCUGUUUCCAGCCUGCCUGCCAUGGGCAGGGACACCCUCCACUAGGCCAGGUUGCUUAAAGCCUCAUCCAUCCUGGCAUUCUUCACCAACUUAAAGGAAGCAUUUCCGUCUAUGUGACUAUAUCUGUUUGCUGUCUUCUAGACUUAGGGGUUCAUAUUUGGCCAGACUGAAGAACCCAAAGCACUUGAACAUAUUUCUUGGAGGUUGUUUCCAUGGGUUUGUGAGGAUUGCAACUUAAAAUCUUUCUGUAACUCCUGAAAUCUCACUUAAAACUUGUAAGGGAUUUGUUUGGCCUGUGUUUGAACAUCUGCCAAUUGUUAAGCAGAAAUAGCGACUAAGUGGUGUUCUGGUGCUGCCUAAUAAAUAUCAAAUGUUAGUGAAACGUACAUAUUUGCUCAGGAGUUUCUCAUGGGAUCGUGGUGCUCUGUACUCCAUUCACCUGAGGCUGUCUCCUAGCACAUUGUUUAAGUAGCUGCAUUAACCCACACUAGUUCAUUUGGCAAAAUUACUUGCUGAACUUACUUUAACAAAUGAACUCGCUGUACCUCUGCUACAGAAGGUACACGGUGGUGAUAGCAGCAGAUAGGAGUGUUCUUGGCUGAAGCAGAAUGGGGAGCACAAGAGAGAAGAAUAAACAGCUCAGGCCAGAUUAUAUGGCUUCUGAUUAGAUGAAUUGUGCCUACUGGCUUGUGUAGCCAUGGCACAUCAGAAAGGUUUGUGGGUCUACUAUGCUAAGCUGGGCAUGAU